AUCUCUGCGCUUGGGGCAAUAACACAUCUAGAGAGGUAUUAACUGAGGUCCGUCUGUUGCUUGUUGAAAACUUUUUCCGAACCCCCUCCGAGCCUAGAUUAAAACCCAGGCUUUAGAGAAUUUCUAAGAGGGUUCCCUUUUUGGGUAAAGCC